rnacentral:rRNA from 1 species
GAUGAACGCUAGCGGCAGGCCUAACACAUGCAAGUCGAGGGGUAGCAGGGUUAAGCUUGCUUAAUUGCUGACGACCGGCGCACGGGUGCGUAACGCGUAUGCAACCUACCUUAUACUGGGGUAUAGCCCGGAGAAAUUCGGAUUAAUCCCCCAUAGUACUAAUGAAUCGCAUGGUUUAUUAGUUAAAGCAUUGCGGUAUAAGAUGGGCAUGCGUCCUAUUAGCUAGAUGGUGAGGUAACGGCUCACCAUGGCUACGAUAGGGAGGGGGCCUGGGAGGGUGGUCCCAUCCUCGGGUGCUUAGACCAGGGCCAGGCGGCUACGGGAUGCAGCAGUGAGAGGUACUGGUUAAUGAGCGCUAGCUUCACCCAGCCAUGCCGCGUGCAGGAAGAAUGCCCUAUGUGUUGUAAACUGCUUUUAUUUGGGAAUAAACCUCUUUACGUGUAGAGAGCAGAAGGUACCAAAUGAAUAAGCACCGGCUAACUCCGUGCCAGCCGCCGCGGUAA